rnacentral:rRNA from 1 species
GGUUAAGUUAAUAAGGGCGCACGGUGGAUGCCUUGGCACUAAGAGCCGAUGAAGGACGGGACUAACUCCGAUAUGCUUUGGGGAGCUGUAAGUAAGCUUUGAUCCAAAGAUUUCCGAAUGGGGAAACCC